rnacentral:rRNA from 1 species
AGUGAACGCUGGCGGUAGGCCUAACACAUGCAAGUCGAACGGCAGCACAGUAAGAGCUUGCUCUUACGGGCGGCGAGUGGCGGGCGGGUGAGGAAUACAUCGGAAUCUACUUUUUCGUGGGGGAUAACGUAGGGAAACUUACGCUAAUACCGCAUACGACCUACGGGUGAAAGCAGGGGAUCUUCGGACCUUGCGCGAUUGAAUGAGCCGAUGUCGGAUUAGCUAGUUGGCGGGGUAAAGGCCAACCAAGGCGACGAUCCGUAGCUGGUCUGAGAGGGUGAUCAGACACACUGGAACUGAGACACGUUCCAGACUCCUACAGGAGGCAGCAGUGGGGAAUAUUGGACAAUGGGCGCAAGCCUGAUCCAGCCAUACCGCGUGGGUGAAGAAGGCCUUCGGGUUGUUAAGCCCUUUUGUUGGGAAAGAAAAGCAGCAGGUUAAUACCCCGCUGUUCUGACGGUACCCAAAGAAUAAGCACCGGCUAACUUCGUG